rnacentral:rRNA from 1 species
UUGAAAGGGAAACGAUUGAAGUCAGUCGUGCUGGCGCGAAAUCAACCUUCUCGUCUUGAGAUCACAUGGCGUGGCGAGCCUCAAAACCGUCACGAAGCGUGAACUCUUGGUGAAAUGGAGCACUUUCGUGUCCGCUGGUUAACAUCAAUUUCGAACGUCAUAAAAAGGCUGGAGGGAUGUGGUUCCUUCGGGAGUGUUAUAACCUUUAGCGGAAUGUGGUGUUCGGGAUUGAGGAUUGCAACGAAUACCUUUAGGGCUGUUCCACCUGGCUUCUCUUUGGUAUCCUGGUGACGACAGCUUGCUGACGUCGUUAGGAUUCGCCUUUGAACAGGCUAGAGUGUGAGCAAAUUCGUUAAGGAUGUUGACGUA